rnacentral:rRNA from 1 species
UACAGAGGGUGCGAGCGUUAAUCGGAAUGUCUGGGCGUAAAGCGCGCGUAGGCGGCUUUGCAAGUCGAGUGUGAAAUCCCCAGGCUUAACCUGGGAACUGCAUUCGAGACUGCAUAGCUAGAGUAUGGGAGAGGGAAGUGGAAUUUCAGGUGUAGCGGUGAAAUGCGUAGAUAUCUGAAGGAACAUCAGUGGCGAAAGCGACUUCCUGGACCAAUACUGACGCUCAUGUGCGAAAGCGUGGGGAGCAAACAGG